rnacentral:lncRNA from 1 species
GUAUCUGCAUAUUAGUUUGCUUGUCCAUGCAUAUAGGUAGUUGUAGCAGGUGAAGCCUUGGAGAACAUGCAGGAGGUGAGAUGCGAGGCGCCGUGAGAUAUGGCGCAUGGCGAGAUGCCGAACGGUGGCGAGAGGCUGCUGUGUAUGCAUGUCCGAGGUUGUUAGCUGCUGCUGCAUGAGUGGCCGGGUCGUGUGGUUCCUAGAGUGAUUCUAGGAGAAGAUCAAGUCAUUAGUUAGUGGUGUGCGUGGGUGCGUGCAUGCAGUUAGUGGGCGAGUGUGUGGCCCGGCUACGUGAGCGUGAGUCUACUUAAGCACUUGUAUGCAUAUUUGCUUUCAGAAGAGAAAUAGAGGCAAAGAGAAAAGGUUGGGCUGUGAGAGUCCGACGCCAAACACCUGUGUCUCCAUUUUCUUGAGUUGGUUGUGUGAGGCAGCCGUGAGGGAGAAGAGGGGCUGAGAGAGUUAGCUCCAACAUUUGGUAUCAGCGCUAGGUGAUGACGAAGACGAUGCCGCGUGACUCUUCAGCGAGUGGAGCGUUGGUGCCGAGCGACUCGGCGGCGAUGGCGGCUGCCGCGACGGCGGCGACGACGGCGGCGGCGGGGAAGCUCCCGUUCCCGCUGCUCACGAGGACGAACUACGCGGCGUGGGCGAUGAGGAUGAAGUACCUCUUGCGCGCCAAUGGCGCGUGGGGUGCCGUUGAUCGCGAGGCCUCAUCGGAGGUCGACAAGGGCAAGGAGGAGAUGGCCAUGACGAUAAUCUCCCAGUCCAUCGACGACUCGACGCUGCUGCGGGUUGCAGAGAAGGAGACCGCAGCCGAUGUGUGGGCGGCGCUACGCUCCAUGCAUGUGGGCGUCGAGCGCGUCCGAGAGGCGAGGAUUCAGUCCUUGCGCUCGGAGUUUGACGGCCUCAAGAUGGGUGAUGCCGAGUCCGUGGAUGACUUCGCGGCGAGGUUCACGACGCUCGUGGGGCGCAUCCGUGAGCUUGGUGAUGCGAUGGAGGAGAAGUAUGUCGUGAAGAAGCUGCUCCGAGCCGUCUCCAACAAGUUCAUCCAUGUUGCGUCGUCAAUUGCGUUGUUCGGCGACACCAACAAGAUGGCCAUGGAGGAGGCCAUUGGUUCACUCAAGGCACACGAGGAACUCGUCAAGGGGCGUGAGACGGGACGCGAAGAAGAGCAGCUCCUCAUGGCGAGAGGACACGACUCGUCGCGAGGACGGGGUCGUGGCCGUGGACGCGGUGGAGGGCGCAGAGACAAAAGUGAGGUACAGUGUUACAAUUGCCGCAAACUUGGUCACUUCGCUUGGGAGUGUCCUGAGAAGAAGAAGGAGAACGAGGAGGAGAAGGCGCUGCUGGGACAGUACGUCGACGACGAGCCAACUCUCCUUUGAAGCUCCAUGAAGAAUUGGGAAUCAAGAUUAGGGGGUGAUUGUUAGCUUUUUUAAUCUUGAUUCACAUGUAUCUGCAUAUUAGUUUGCUUGUCCAUGCAUAUAGGUAGUUGUAGCAGGUGAAGCCUUGGAGAACAUGCAGGAGGUGAGAUGCGAGGCGCCGUGAGAUAUGGCGCAUGGCGAGAUGCCGAACGGUGGCGAGAGGCUGCUGUGUAUGCAUGUCCGAGGUUGUUAGCUGCUGCUGCAUGAGUGGCCGGGUCGUGUGGUUCCUAGAGUGAUUCUAGGAGAAGAUCAAGUCAUUAGUUAGUGGUGUGCGUGGGUGCGUGCAUGCAGUUAGUGGGCGAGUGUGUGGCCCGGCUACGUGAGCGUGAGUCUACUUAAGCACUUGUAUGCAUAUUUGCUUUCAGAAGAGAAAUAGAGGCAAAGAGAAAAGGUUGGGUUGUGAGAGUCCGACGCCAAA